CCUACGGGAGGCAGCAGUGGGGAAUAUUGGACAAUGGGCGAAAGCCUGAUCCAGCAAUGCCGCGUGAGUGAUGAAGGCCUUAGGGUUGUAAAGCUCUUUUACCAGGGAUGAUAAUGACAGUACCUGGAGAAUAAGCUCCGGCUAACUCCGUGCCAGCAGCCGCGGUAAUACGGAGGGAGCUAGCGUUGUUCGGAAUUACUGGGCGUAAAGCGUACGUAGGCGGUUAUUCAAGUCAGAGGUGAAAGCCCGGGGCUCAACCCCGGAACUGCCUUUGAAACUAGAUAGCUAGAAUCUUGGAGAGGUUAGUGGAAUUCCGAGUGUAGAGGUGAAAUUCGUAGAUAUUCGGAAGAACACCAGUGGCGAAGGCGACUAACUGGACAAGUAUUGACGCUGAGGUACGAAAGCGUGGGGAGCAAACAGGAUUAGAUACCCUGGUAGUCCACGCCGUAAACGAUGAUAACUAGUUGUUCGGGCACUUGGUGCCUGAGUGACGCAGCUACGCAUUAAGUUAUACCGUCCGUCGGGUAGGUACGGUCGCGAGAAUUAAACUAACAAAGAAGUUAGACGGACGUGAGACGUCGCCGACGGACGACGACGAGGGAGGUAGG
rnacentral:rRNA from 1 species